rnacentral:rRNA from 1 species
GACGAAGGAUGCAAGCGUUAUCCGGAUUCAUUGGGUUUAAAGGGAGCGUAGUGCGUUGCUAAUACAGUGGUGAAAUUCUCGUCGUCUAACCGAGAAAUUGCCAUUGAUACUGUAGGGCUUGAGUAUAGUUCCGUUGGCGGAAUAUGACAUGUAGUGGUGAAAUACAUAGAGAUGUCAUAGAACACCGAUUGCGAAGGCAGCUAACGAAACUAUAACUGACACUGAGGCUCGAAAGUGCGGGGAUCAAACAGG